rnacentral:rRNA from 1 species
ACGAACGCUGGCGGCGUGCUUAACACAUUCAAGUCGAGCGGAAAGGCCCUGCGGUGGCCUCGCGCGGCGAACGGGUGAGUAACACGUGAGUAACCUGCCCCAGACUUUGGGAUCACCCUCGGAAACGGGGGCUAAUACCGGAUACGACACAGCUGCGCAGGGGGCCUGUUUGGAAAGUGUUUCGGUUUGGGAUGGGCUCGCGGCCUAUCAGCUUGUUGGUGGGGUGAUGGCCUACCAAGGCGACGACGGGUAGCCGGCCUGAGAGGGCGACCGGCCACACUGGGACUGAGACACGGCCCAGACUCCUACGGGAGGCAGCAGUGGGGAAUAUUGCACAAUGGGCGGAAGCCUGAUGCAGCGACGCCGCGUGAGGGAUGACGGCCUUCGGGUUGUAAACCUCUUUCAGCAGGGACGAAGCGUAAGUGACGGUACCUGCAGAAGAAGCGCCGGCUAACUACGUG